UUGUCAUCUCUGGCAAAGUUUCUAAGCGUGGAUUGUCGUGCUCCUUCUCUGUUUGGCAAUUUUUUCCAAGUUUGGAAUUUCUGAAGCCGAAAUGUCUGGACUUAUGUCUUGCCGUACUGAAUUUGGUCCUUCUCAACCUUUUAAAGGUGCUAAGAUGACUGGAUCUCUUCAUAUGACUAUUCAAACUGCUGUUCUUAUUGAGACUCAUACUACUCUUGUUGCUGAAGUUUGUUGGUGUUCUUACUACAUCUUCUCUACCCAGAUGUGUGCAACAAAAAUUAGGGGGACCUACUGUUGCUGAAUAUGAGAAACUUCAUACUGAGAUGUCAGAGAUGCAGGAGAAAUACAAAGAGCUUCUGGCCACCCAUCAAGAGACUAUUAAGCAGGUUCUUCUUGAUUAGGAGAGAUGUAUGACAAGUAGUGAUGGCUCUAGCAUUCCCGGUUCACUUGCUGUGCCUAUGGGAGCUGAAAAUCAGUUUGGGUAUGGUGAUAAGUAAACCGAGAGUACGGCAAGAUGUGCUACUCAGAUCUUCUCCGGGGGCUUCAACGGUUUAAUAAUCAACACGGUUGGUAGUUCUUCCUCCGGUUCCUCAUCCGCUGCCCCCCUUUGCUGAAAUCACGCCAAAAUUAAACAAUAACAGGAACAACCCCAGAAAGAACAACUGUUGUUGCUGAAACAGUUUCGAAUUAUGAGCAAACGAGAGAGCAACGUAUUGAAUUUGAAUCUCAUCUUAGUCAUAGCAAUUAGCAAGUGCAUGACUUGUUUUUAAUUUCUUUAAUAGAUAAAAUCAUUUGAAUGUUGUAUAACUUUUGCUAAUUGAAUUUCAACUAUAUAUUUGUAUAAAUUAUUAUUUAAAUCUAUUUUUUUAAUUGAUAAUUUAUAAUAGUAAUUAAAAUUU